rnacentral:tRNA from 1 species
GGCGGAUGUAGCCAAGUGGAUCAAGGCGGUGGAUUU